GUGGGGAAUAUUGGACAAUGGGGGGAACCCUGAUCCAGCCAUGCCGCGUGUGUGAAGAAGGCCUUUUGGUUGUAAAGCACUUUAAGCGAGGAGGAGGCUACCGAGAUUAAUACUCUUGGAUAGUGGACGUUACUCGCAGAAUAAGCACCGGCUAACUCUGUGCCAGCAGCCGCGGUAAUACAGCGGGUGCAUGCGUUAAUCGGAUUUACUGGGCGUAAAGCGCGCGUAGGUGGCCAAUUAAGUCAAAUGUGAAAUCUCCGAGCUUAACUUGGGAAGUGCAUUCGAUACUGGUUGGCUAGAGUAGGGGAGAGGAUGGUAGGAUUCCGGGUGUAGCGGUGAAAUGCGUAGAGAUCUGGAGGAAUACCGAUGGCGAAGGCAGCCAUCUGGCCUAAUACUGACACUGAGGUGCGAAAGCAUGGGGAGCAAACAGGAUUAGAAACCCGUGUAGUCC
rnacentral:rRNA from 1 species